UUGGAUUCCUGUCAACGGUGCAGAAGA
rnacentral:piRNA from 1 species